AAUGGUUGCGAUAUAUGUUUGUAGUUGUUGUUUCUAACGGUGUGUAAAUGGUUCUGCCCUCUUUUGUGUCUUUCCGUCUUUUUCCUUCCUCGUUCCAUGUUGGUAGGUUUAUGUGCUAAUUUCUUUCGAAAUUUGAUCUUGCUUGUGGGCCUUCUUUGAUAGCUAUGGCCUGUUUUGUUUAGCUUUACAGAUGAAGCCUCGAUGUACGCUGUUCUCUUUGACAAGCAGUCGUUGGAGAGCUGUGUGCUACAUUUUAUAGAGAUAGUCUGACAUGUACUGGUAGCAGACUCUGUAGGUUUUUGUGUUGGGUUUUAACUGCUUAUGUACCCAUAUUGAGUUGAACUGAGAUGGAAAGGCCAGUCAAUUCCAACUGGCUGUUCUAUCUAAAUUUGUAAGAGUUCAACCGAGAUGUUGAAUCAUGGAAGAUAAUAAAAGAUGAAAAUUGCCCUUAGUUUUGAUGUCACUGAAAGUAGAUUAAAAAUUUCAGUAUAAAUGUGGUAUCUCGGGAUACACAUUCAACACUAGAUAUGUUGAUGUAAUUUGUAAAUGUAUUAUAAGUGUGGGUUCUGGUAAGGAUCAAUCUUCACAAAUUUAAAUUAGGAAAUACAUUUAGUUAAGAAAAAGGUUGGGUUGGCUUUGACAACUCUGAUUUUGGCUGAAAAUAAGCAUAUGACAUGUAUCCUUUUUUUUAUUUAACUGCUAUAAUACUUUUAAAAAUGAGGGCCAACAAAAUUGUACAUGUUGGUAUUUUAACUCUCACCAAUCUUUAAUUUUUACAAUUAAUUAUUUUAAGGAAAUUUUUGUUGUAAUGUACUAAGUGAUGGUUUUUUCUUUAUCAACUGUCUUUUUUCAUGUGCUUAAAUGAACAUCAUAAUACACACUACUUAAAUGGGGUUACUUUUGUCUUUCUAUUCUAUGCCAUCUCAGAGAUAAACAAAGAUUAUGUGAUGGUCAAAAAUGCAUAUUACUUUAUUUUUGUUGGUUUUUAUUUCAGCCAAGAACAGCGUAUGAAGUAUCAUUCAGUUCUGUCCAAGAUUUUUAAGGCUUACAAGAUAAAGAUUCCUGGAAAUUCAGUGCUGAGGCAUCUAUGAAUUAAGCUUAAGCAUCGUAACCCCACUUCAGCUACUUUUGUUUUUUGAAUCUUAUGUCUAUCUCAUCUUUUUCACUCUCCCUAGAGUCUCAACUUCACCCUCCAGAAAAUCUCGCAUGGGCUAAAUUGGGAGAGAUUAAGUGAUUAUAUUUGGUAUGGAUUUGAAAUAUUGCCUUUAUGGUUACAUAUGGGAUAGGCUAUUGGCUCCCCGGGCCCUAUUUGCAUGAGGUCUUCGUAAUGCUGUGUAGAUCCACAAUCAUGCCAGAAUUGUGACAGGUGGCUUUUGAUGAGUUUAGGUAACAGAUGGACAUAAGGUGUUUUAUGACAUAAUGGACACAAGAUCAUCCAUCUCUACUCCGUUUUUACAUUGGGGGAGAUGGAAACUCUGUGAGCCCACCACUGCAAUGCUUGAUGGAUGUCCAAUUGUUUCUUGUUCAAGUUGUCCAACAUUGAUUGUGCCCCCUCUCAACUCACAGGAUCACAGCAAAAUCCUUCUUUGCUACAAGUAUGCCACUCAUAAGGAUCAAUGGAAGCUCUACAAAUGGAAUUAUGAAGCUCGGAACGCAAUUUAGGAGCUUCUUCUGAUGAACAGUGAGUUAAGUCAGGACAUGAAGCAAUUUCUUUUUUCCUUAAGAUAAAUUCCAUAAGAUAUCAAAGAAAGCUGCACUCAUGUAUGUGGACAAGUGGUGCUCGAGCACUCAUUUUCCAGAAGAUGUUGUAGAUGUUUGUUAAUUUACAUCAUUAUUUUAUGAAAA